AAUCAACGCUGGCGGCGUGCCUCAGACAUGCAAGUCGAACGCGAAAGUUCCCUUCGGGGAGCAAGUAGAGUGGCGCACGGGUGAGUAACACGUGGAUAAUUUACCUUCGGGUGGGGAAUAACAGUCGGAAACGGCUGCUAAUACCGCAUAAUGCAGCGGCAUCUAUGAUGACAGUUGUUAAAGCGGGGGAUCGCAAGACCUCGCGCCUGAAGAGAAGUCCGCGGCAGAUUAGCUAGUUGGUAGGGUAAUGGCCUACCAAGGCUUCGAUCUGUAGCCGGCCUGAGAGGGCGGUCGGCCACACUGACACUGACAUACGGGUCAGACUCCGUACGGGAGGCAGCAGUCGGGAAUUUUGGGCAA
rnacentral:rRNA from 1 species